AUUGAACGCUGGCGGCAGGCUUAACACAUGCAAGUCGAGCGGUAACAGAGAGAAGCUUGCUUCUCUGCUGACGAGCGGCGGACGGGUGGGUAAUGCCUAGGAAUCUGCCUAGUAGUGGGGGAUAACUUGCCGAAAGGUAAGCUAAUACCGCAUACGUCCUACGGGAGAAAGGAGGGGACCUUCGGGCCUUUCGCUAUUAGAUGAGCCUAGGUCGGAUUAGUUAGUUGGUGAGGUAAUGGCUCACCAAGACCGCGAUCCGUAACUGGUCUGAGAGGAUGAUCAGUCACACUGGAACUGAGACACGGUCCAGACUCCUACGGGAGGCAGCAGUGGGGAAUAUUGGACAAUGGGGGGGAACCCUGAUCCAGCCAUGCCGCGUGUGUGAAGAAGGUCUUAGGAUUGUAAAGCACUUUAAGUUGGGAGGAAGAGCAGUUAACUAAUAUUUGACUGUUUUGACGUUACCGACAGAAUAAGCACCGGCUAACUUCGUG
rnacentral:rRNA from 1 species